GAUGAAGGAGAUGUGUUGAUAAGAUCUGAUACGUAAAAUGCAUAAAACUUAAAUUUUCUCGAUGUUGCAGAUACAUUCAUACAAAUGAUGUUGAAGAAACAAAGAGAAAAGGAACUUGGACUGUACCAGUUUGUUUGCAGCUUCUAAGAUUAUUAUUGAAAAAAGAGCACUUUGAAGUACUAGGAGAA